rnacentral:tRNA from 1 species
GCUGGGGUAGUUCAAAGGCAGAACAUUUGCCUGGUAUGCAUGAGAGCCUGGGGGUCAUUCCCCAGUA